AUUGAACGCUGGCGGCAGGCUUAACACAUGCAAGUCGAGCGGUGAAAUAUAGCUUGCUAUAUGACCUAGCGGCGGACGGGUGAGUAAUGCUUAGGAAUCUGCCUAUUAGUGGGGGACAACAUUUCGAAAGGGAUGCUAAUACCGCAUACGCCCUACGGGGGAAAGCAGGGGAUCAUUUGACCUUGCGCUAAUAGAUGAGCCUAAGUCGGAUUAGCUAGUUGGUGGGGUAAAGGCCUACCAAGGCGACGAUCUGUAGCGGGUCUGAGAGGAUGAUCCGCCACACUGGGACUGAGACACGGCCCAGACUCCUACGGGAGGCAGCAGUGGGGAAUAUUGGACAAUGGGGGGAACCCUGAUCCAGCCAUGCCGCGUGUGUGAAGAAGGCCUUUUGGUUGUAAAGCACUUUAAGCGAGGAGGAGGCUCCUGUAGAUAAUACCUACAGAGAGUGGACGUUACUCGCAGAAUAAGCACCGGCUAACUCUGUGCCAGCCGCCGCGGUAA
rnacentral:rRNA from 1 species